rnacentral:lncRNA from 1 species
UUGGUGCGGCUCAUUUUGCCAAAAGUAACAAAAAUUUGAAUGAUUGAAAGCGAACUGAAGCAAAAUAUAAUGGUUAAGGACGUGAUAAUUUUUUUUUUUUUUUGAGAGAGAUAGAUAGCACGCUAUCUGAUUCGAAGUUGGGUCUCGGAUACCAAGCACCUAGCUUUUUACCACUUACUCUAGGGACGGUCGAUAGGACGUGAUAACUUAAACAAAGGUUAUUUGGUCAAAAGUAAAAGAGU